AUUGAACGCUGGCGGAAGGCCUAACACAUGCAAGUCGAACGAGUGGCGGACGGGUGAGUAAUGUCUGGGAAACUGCCUGAUGGAGGGGGAUAACUCCUGGAACCGGUAGCUAAUACCGCAUACCAUCGGAUGUGCCCAGAUGGGAUUAGCUAGUAGGUGGGGUAAAGGCUCACCUAGGCGACGAUCCCUAGCUGGUCUGAGAGGAUGACCAGCCACACUGGAACUGAGACACGUUCCAGACUCCUACGGGAGGCAGCAGUGGGGAAUAUUGCAGAACGUGGGCAAGCCUGAUGGUGUCUUGCCGCGUGUAUGAAUAAGGCUUGCGGGUUGUAAAAUACAUGCAGCGGGGAGGCGUUACGCGCAGAAGACUCACCGGCUAACGCAGCGCCAGCAGCCGCGGUAAUAC
rnacentral:rRNA from 1 species